AGUGAACGCUGGCGGUAGGCCUUACACAUGCAAGUCGAACGGCAGCACACUAUGAGCUUGCUCUUACUGGUGGCGAGUGGCGGACUGGUGAGGAAUACAUCGGAAUCUACUUUUUCGUGGGGGAUAACGUAUGGUAAUUUCCGCUAAUACCUCAUACUACCUACGGGUGACAGCAGGGCAUCUUCGUACCUUGCGCCAUUGAAUGAGCCGAUGUCGGAUUAGCUAGUUGGCGGGGUAAAGGCCCACCAAGGCGACGAUCCGUAGCUGGUCUGAGAGGAGGAUCAGCCACACUGGAACUGAGACACGGUCCAGACUCCUACGGGAGGCAGCAGUGGGGAAUAUUGGACAAUGGGCGCAAGCCUGAUCCAGCAAUACCGCGUGAGGGAAGAAGGCCUUCGGGUUGUAAAGCCCUUUUGUUCGGAAAGAAAAGCAGCAGGUUAAUACCCCGCUGUGAUGACGGUACCGAAAGAAUAAGCACCGGCUAACUUCGUG
rnacentral:rRNA from 1 species